rnacentral:rRNA from 1 species
AGCCAUGCAUGUCCAAGUACGUGCCGCAGUAAGGUGAAACCGCGAAUGGCUCAUUAAAUCAGUUAUGGUUCCUCUGACGGUACCCUCCUAGUUGGAUACCUGUGGCAAUUCCAGAGCUAAUACAUGCAUCAGAGCUCCGACCCUCGGGGACGAGCGCUUUUAUUAGACCAAAACCAAUCGGGCCUCGUGCCCGUGAAGUGUGGUGACUCUGUGUAACUUUGGGCAGAUCGCACGGGCUCGUCCCGGCGACAUAUCUUUCGAGUGUCUGCCUUAUCAACUGUCGAUGGUAGGUUACGCGCCUCCCGUGGUCGUAACGGGUGACGGGGAAUCAGGGUUCGAUUCCGGAGAGGGAGCCUGAGAAACGGCUACCACAUCCAAGGAAGGCAGCAGGCGCGCAAAUUACCCAAUCCCGGUUCGGGGAGGUAGUGACGAAAAAUAACGAUACGGGACUCUUUUGAGAACCCGUAAUUGGAAUGAGUACACUCCAAAUCCUUUAACGAGUAUCUAUUGGAGGGAAAGUCUGAUGCCAGCAGCCGCGGUAAUUUCAGCUCCAAUGGCGUAUAUUAAAGUUGUUGCGGUUAAAAAGCUCGUAGUUGAAUCUCAGUUCCAGAGGGUCGGUCCGCCUAUCGGUGGUACCGGCCUCUUCUGAACAUGUCGCCGGUUUGCCUGGGUGAUCUUCACCGGUUGUCUGGGUUGACCGGAUCUUUUUACUUUGAAAAAAUUAGAGUGCUCAAAGCAGGCCGAGAGCCUGGAUAGUGGUGCAUGGAAUGAUGGAAUAGGACCUCGGUUCUAUGUUGUUGGUUUUCGGAACACGAGGUAAUGAUUAAGAGGGACGGACGGGGGCAUUCGUAUUGCGGCGCUAGAGGUGAAAUUCUUGGACCGUCGCAAGACGAACUACUGCGAAAGCAUUUGCCAAGAAUGCUUCCUUUAAUCAAGAACGAAAGUUAGAGGUUCGAAGGCGAUCAGAUACCGCCCUAGUUUUAACCAUAAACGAUGCCAGCCAGCGAUCCGGCUGUGUUCCUCAAAUGACACGCCGGGAAGCUUCCGGGAAACCAAAGCCUUUGGGUUCCGGGGGAAGUAUGGUUGCAAAGCUUAAACUUAAAGGAAUUGACGGAAGGGCACCACAAGCCAUGGAGCAUGCGGUUCAAUUUGACUCAACACGGGGAACCUUACCCAGCCCGGACACAGGAAGGAUUGACAGAUUAAGAGCUCUUUCUUGAUUCUGUGAGUGGUGGUGCAUGGCCGUUCUUAGUUGGUGGAGCGAUUUGUCUGCUUUAUUGCGAUAACGAACGAGACUCUAGCCUGUUAAAUAGACGUCUCGAUAAUAGAAGUCGGACGGUCUUCUUAGGGGGACAGGCGGCGACCAGCCGCACGAGACAGAGCAAUAACAGGUCUGUGAUGCCCUCAGAUGUCCGGGGCCACACGCGCGCUACAUUGAAGGAAUCAGCGUGUGCUUUCCCGGUCCGACGGGACUGGGUAACCCGCUGAACCUCCUUCGUGCUGGGGAUAGGGGCUUGCAAUUGUUCCCCUUGAACGAGGAAUGCCUAGUAAGCGCGAGUCAUCAGCUAGCGCUGAUUAGGUCCCUGCCCUUUGUACACACCGCCCGUCGCUACAAGCGAUUGAACGGUUCAGUGAGGUCUUCGGACCGGCGCUCGGAUCGGCCCUCCGGACCAGGCGAAGUGCCGGAAAGAUGACCGAACUUGAUCGUUUAGAGCAU